AGUGAACGCUGGCGGUAGGCCUAACACAUGCAAGUCGAACGGCAGCACAGUAAGAGCUUGCUCUUACGGGUGGCGAGUGGCGGACGGGUGAGGAAUACAUCGGAAUCUACUUUUUCGUGGGGGAUAACGUAGGGAAACUUACGCUAAUACCGCAUACGACCUACGGGUGAAAGCAGGGGAUCUUCGGACCUUGCGCGAUUGAAUGAGCCGAUGUCGGAUUAGCUAGUUGGCGGGGUAAAGGCCCACCAAGGCGACGAUCCGUAGCUGGUCUGAGAGGAUGAUCAGCCACACUGGAACUGAGACACGGUCCAGACUCCUACGGGAGGCAGCAGUGGGGAAUAUUGGACAAUGGGCGCAAGCCUGAUCCAGCCAUACCGCGUGGGUGAAGAAGGCCUUCGGGUUGCAAAGCCCUUUUGUUGGGAAAGAAAAGCAGCAGGUUAAUACCCCGCUAUUCUGACGGUACCCAAAGAAUAAGCACCGGCUAACUUCGUG
rnacentral:rRNA from 1 species